UGAACGCUGGCGGCGUGCCUAACACAUGCAAGUCGAACGAGAAAAUUUCCUUCGGGGAAUGAGUAAAGUGGCGCACGGGUGAGUAACACGUGGAUAAUCUACCUCUAAGUGAGGGAUAACUUCGCGAAAGCGGGGCUAAUACCUCAUAAUAUUAUCUUCUCCUUGGGGAAGAUAGUCAAAGGUGGCCUCUGUUUCAAGCUAUCGCUAAGAGACGAGUCCGCGUCCCAUUAGUUUGUUGGUAAGGUAAUGGCUUACCAAGACUACGAUGGGUAGCUGGUCUGAGAGGAUGACCAGUCACACUGGAACUGAGACACGGUCCAGACUCCUACGGGAGGCAGCAGUGAGGAAUCUUGCGCAAUGGGGGAAACCCUGACGCAGCAACGCCGUGUGAGUGAUGAAGGCUUUCGGGUCGUAAAGCUCUGUUAGGUGGGAAGAAAAGCUCUCGACCAAUAAUCGAGAAUCUUGACGGUACCACCAGAGGAAGCACCGGCCAACUCC
rnacentral:rRNA from 1 species